GCACACUUUCUCUGCUGUUGCAAGAUGAAAAUGUGCCCGGCCUGACAAUGAAGCAGCGGAGCCAUCGCACAUUGUUAUGCAACUCGCUGUCUGCAAGGGUGGUUCGUAGCUCCUUCUUUAUUCAGCAAGUGCCAAGUGCAUGUUUAAUCAAUGUCACAGCUCGCCACAGUGUGCGACUGGAGCCGCCGUCAUUCCUCCCCUCAGAUCUGUCUGCUUAAGUCCUGCAGUGCUCCGAAGAAUACCUUGGAAUUAUUUCCAGAGCCUCUGAGCGCAGGUGUGUGGCAGCGCUGACACGGCCGCAAGCAGCACAGACUUCCUUGCAUCCCUCCUCAGUCUGGACUAAAAUUACGGAGCGUGGCUGCACGUAGUUUGCUGCAUUUGGAAUUACGGCACGUCAACGCAAAACCAAACGGCAUACAUUUUGUUGCUCUACAUCAUCCAAGGAAAAAAAAAAUCCUCAUUUUAAUGAGAAUUAGUCAACAGCAAGGAUCAUUACCAGAAGGGUUUUUCGACUACCCUCAAUGCUGGCGGAUCACCGAGGGAAGCUUCUGUAAUGUUAUUCCCCUCACCGUUAAACUUCUUCAUCAAGGAACUGUCCGUGCUCGUGCUGAGUCUAUCUGAGCGAGGAGAGCAGCCCCUUCAUGAAGAUAAAAGCCUGGCUUACCACCGAAUCGACGAGUAAGAAGCAUGUCUGAUGACAUUUUAUUCCUGAUGCAAUGUAGGCUAGCUGCCAGAAUACUGGUGAAGAAAUUUGCAGGAAAAAUGGGGACCUCUGCCAUCACAACACUGGAGGAUGUAAAAAGGCGAGAGGAGAAGGAGGAGAAAGAAGAAUCUAUUCUAGCACUGCUUGGAAUUAUUGGAACUGUGCUCAAUUUAUUCGUUAUUGUUUUUGUGUACAUCUACACUACACUUUGAUGGCAUUUUUGAACACCAAUUGCAUAGCACACAGUGCAAAGACCAGCGAUGGUAAGGAUGAUUUCUAAAUUUAAAGCAAGAAAACUCACAGUCUGAAAAGAUUAUCAGAAACAUUCCAGAGCGAAGUGUCUGGCUAAGGGCACUGCAACAACUGCUGAAUGCAUCUGUGAGCCCAGGUAGGGUGCUACAUUAUGUAAAUCAAGACAGACAAUAUUCAGUUUCUCAUGGAUGAGAGAUUAAACCCAAAUAAUGUAACCUGAGGUGGCACUGUUUUAUUGACAACAAAUGUGCAAGGCACAAAAAAUAUAAACAGAAAAACAGUGAAAACAACCAGAACACAGAAAGAGAUUACUAAAUACAUGAAGAUAUAUAUAAGCAAGUCCCAUGAUGCUUAUUGUAGUUUUGUGCAGUCUGUCUCUUCAUAGCUGAGACCAGAAAACAGACAAAAGGGUUUUAUUUCUAGAUCACCAUAAUUUAGGCUUAAAAUCUAAACAGAUGUGCAAUAAGUGUGGAAAAAGGAACAGUGUUAUACCAAAAAUUGUAAUAUUCUAAGUAAAAUUUUAACUAUUGACUGACUAUAUUCUGCAGCAUUUUUGUUAGUAUUGUGGAAAGCUGAAAAAGCUUAGGUUCUAUUGCCUUUACUGAAUCUGUAUUUGAAAUCAUGCUAUACUGACAAUGUGCUUUUCUAAUUAAAACUCCUUUUAAGUGGUGUGAAAAAAUAAAUGAGUUUUAGUACUUCUUUUAAGAAAUAUUAAAAAUUACAAUACUUUGACACAUAUUCUCCAAAGGAAAAAUAAAUACCAGAAACUACAUUUUCCAUAUUACCAUCUUCAGGAUGUGUUUAGUGCAAGUAAAAUACAACUUCAUCGUUUUACCUGAUGCUUAUUUUCAGGUAAGAUAAAAAAGAAUGCAUGGUGUUGUAUGGAAAAUAGCUUCAAUAUCAUUUCCCAGAAGAAUAUACUCUCUCUGGACCAAGUCCUUCCCUUUUUGAAUGGCUUAGGCCCAGAACUGCAACUCCCGUGAGUACUUCAUGGAACGCACCAUUACUUUACUGAAAUCCAUUAAACUGUUUUCAUGUAUGCUUUUUUUAAUUUUAUUUUUAUGUAUGUUUUUGAAUUUAAUCCAAAUCUGCAGACAAUCUAAGGUUAUCACAGUUUCUUUUAUACAUGAAUAUACUCUAUGUAUUUCUUCUAAAAGAAAAGCUACUAUUGAGAGCUGAGGAUUAAAAACCAUAAUUGAGAAAACUCAUGUACAAAUAGAAAGAAGGGGUGUGAAACUGAUUUUAAAAAGUACCAUUCUGAGUAUUACAUGUGCCACAUGAAGAACAGGACAGCUGUGUUUCUGAAAAUCAGCAUGGCAAAACUACACACAUGGCAAAAUUACACACAGCAAAUAAGCAGAACCUCAUGUAGAACAGCUCAUUACUGUACAGAACCUCCUAACUGCUUAACCAAGGGAGCCUUCAAAAGUCAUGUCUUAACAAUACGUACAUAAAACAAGGUCAGGGAUCUACGAUAGAAAGAAUUUGGCACUGAUAUUUCAAUCAGUUACAGAAAUGACACUGUAAGUCAGUGAUGUACAGAAGAAAGAGGUGGAAGAUGGCAUAUUCUGAUUUUGCUAUUCUGAGUCAAUACCGGCUAAUCUAGAAGAAAUGAUAAAUAGAGCUGAGGCUGCGCUGGAAGAAAACAUGCAGACAAGAAAACUUACCCACUAUCUGUAUUCUAUAGCAAUUCUCUGGUAUUGUAUACUGAUUUUCAGAGCAUUCUGUAAGGCUCAGCUGUAUUGAAAAGAAAUCAUGUAGCUUAUUCAUUUCUACUUAGGACUACAGGAUGUAGUCAGUACUUUCUUUCUUUCUUUCAAUGUAUUACUUAUAUUAGUAUAUUUAUGGGCAUCAUCACAUUAAUCUCAU